rnacentral:misc_RNA from 1 species
CUCGAAUAAGCAAUUACAAAUAUUUGGAAAGAGCUGCUGAGUAUACAAAACAGUAAAUUUGGCUGAUUAUACAAUUGUUGUACACUUACAGAUUCAGAUUUACACACAGGUACUUACAACAAGAUCUCUCUCUUUUUCAAGAAGAUAUAAAUAUCUCUGACUACGUACAUCAAUUAUAAUAAUAGCAAGAAUCACUGCAUUUAUACUGUGCUCACCUAUUAUACACAUAAUUCUUUGCAAAAUACAAAUAAGCAACCGACUGUACAAUGCUUAGCGCAGCAAGUAGCCAAUAGAAGUAAUCAAGAUGAGCUCGAUUCAGAUUAUCAGCAAACCAACUAUCACGACUUUCCCCUCCAGUUAGACUGUCAAU